rnacentral:rRNA from 1 species
CACGUAGGGCGCGAGCGUUGUCCGGAAUUAUUGAGCGUAAAGAGCUCGUAGGCGGCCUGUUGCGUCCGCUGUGAAAGCCCGGGGCUUAACCCCGGGUCGGCAGUGGAUACGGGCAGGCUAGAGGUAGGUAGGGGAGAAUGGAAUUCCCGGUGUAGCGGUGAAAUGCGCAGAUAUCGGGAGGAACACCGGUGGCGAAGGCGGCGACCUGGUCCUUGACUGACGCUGAGGCGCGAAAGCGUGGGGAGCAAACAGG